rnacentral:lncRNA from 1 species
UUCAUGCCUUCAAAACCAGUACCACCUGGGUGACCCUUACAUAUUACCAAGACCCGCUGCAGCAGGAGUACAACCUUGGCUAUCUCUGGAACACAGCCUCUUUGUGCUUUCAGAAAACACUUUCCAGAAGAUGUCACCUCAAUGAUGCUGGUCUCUUUUUAAUCACCGCUAAUUUCUUAGCUCCAGCUAACCAGCAUCAAUAGUCCCAGUAAUGCAAAGUUUUUGCUUUAGUAGUUCUGGUAUCUUGUUAAUCACAGCUGAUUCUUCAGCCCCAGCUAACCAGAACUACAGAAUCUUCACAAUCAAAACAGCAAUGGCCCUGAAAAGAGUCUUUAAUUUUCCCUCUGAAAUUUCACAAGCCAGGCCUCCAUCUUCUGCAUUGUUCUCAAUAUUAUCUUCCAAGCUCCUAUAAAACAUCUGGCAGAGCUCUUAACAAUGAAUGGAUCUUCAAGCCCAAAGUUCCAAAGUCUUUCCACAGUCCUCCCCAAAACAUGGUCAAGUUGUCACAGGAAUACCCCACUUCUGGUACCAAUUUGUCUUAGUCAGGAUUUCUAUUCCUGCACAAACAUCAUGACCAGGAAGCAAGUUGGGGAGGAAAGGGUUUAUUCAACUUACACUUCCAUACUGCUGUUCAUCACCAAAGGAAGUCAGGACUGGAACUCAAGCAGGUCAGAAAGCAGGAGCUGAUACAGAGGCCAUGGAGGGAUGUUCUUUACUGGCUUGCCUCCCCUGGCUUGCUUAGCCUGCUCUCUUAUAGAACCCAAGACUACCAGCCCAGAGAUAGUCUUACCCACAAGGGGCCUUUCCCCUUGAUCACUAAUUGAGAAAAUGUCUUACAGUUGGAUCUCAUGGAGGCAUUUCCUUAACUGAAGCUCCUUUCUCUGUGAUAACUCCAGCUGUGUCAAGUUGACACAAAACUAGCCAGUACACCUCGGAACAGAUUCAGUUUGACCAAAUAUUAUAUUUCCACAUGGUAACAGCUUCAUGAGGUUUUUAUAGUUAACAGAACAUGGGGCUAGAGAGAUGCCUUGAGAGUUAAGAGCAUCUUUUGUUCUUAUAGAAGACCCAGGCUUACUUCCCAGCACCCACAUCAGGCAGCUCCAACUGUCUGUAACUCCAGUUCCAAAGGAUCUUCUUAACUCCUGGCUGAAGGUUUGCAAAAUGUGUUACAGACAUAGAUUCAUCUCUUCAAGCAAUAGGAACUUCUUGGACCAUCUUGUAGAACUAGAAUUGGGAAAACAAGCAGCCAGAGAAUAUGUUACCUUUUUAAAUUUGUAUUUGUUUGACGUUCAUGCCAGUAUACAAGAGAUGCAAAGUUGACCACCACAUUCCGCUAUUCAUUCCUCCCAGCAUGACCAUGUUUACAUCUCUUCUGGACUUGUGAGAUGACAUGUUAAGGCUCAUAUACUAAGCCUGAGGACCUGAGUUCGAUCCUUGGGAUCCAUGUGGUGGAAAGAGAACUAACUCCUGAAAGUUGUUCUCUGACCUCCACUCAUGUGCCAUGGCAUACACAUACACACUAAACUUAAUUUAAAAAACAAAAAUACUGUCUCUUGAUAUUACUGUCUUUAACUGGCACAUUGGGAAAGGUGUUUGAGUUUAAACUUGAACACUUAGAUCUCACAUAAAUCCCACCCGGAUCAAACACACCACAGUAGAUUUUAAAUUAACUGCUUCCUUUUCCCACCCCCAUUUCCAUGACUUGGGCCCAGAUGCUCUGUAUGCCCAGGCACAGUGGCAACAAUUCAUUCUGCCUCCAAUUCAUCCCAUGAGCACUGAAUAAGGUGUGGGCGUUUGAGAAUGGCUCUGGCAUAGGCUAGAUGACUUGUCCUACUCCCAGGGAAUGUCACUGUGGAACUAUAGAAAGGUGGUCCCCAAGAGGGAAGUGCAGGUUGCUAAAAGCACAGGAGCAGGUCUCUGUCCUGGCCCAGGAUUUGGCAGGCAAAUUCAGCUGUGUGAAUGAGGGGCAUGGUGGUAGUUAAUGUUGGGUAGUAGGUAGGUGUCCUGCACUGUCAGGGCCCAAGGCAGAGUGCCCCACCCCAGCUCCUUUCACCAUGGGCCUCUUCAGUUGUCCUGGAAAUGCACAUGAAACAGCUAAGAGCUGCUGAGGGAUGCCUUCCAUCUGCCUCAGGCCCUGUUCACUUGAAACCCAUCAAACUGUCAGCUCCAGGAGCAUGCAUGCUACUCAGUCAAAUCUUUUGGGCCGCACUGAGUGAACCUUACCUUUUUUUUGUAAUGGUUGUAUAUGGCCAAUGCUACAGUGGUUAGUCCACAUCACCAGCCCCGUAAUAACCUGCUCCCCACAGCUACCCUCUACAUGUGCACAACAGGCAGCUCCUUAUCUUCCCAGUCUUAAAGUACAGGAUUUCUUAGACAGCCUCUCGAUCCUUGGUCUGUGGCCAUAGGACAUUGUCCUAGUCAGUGUUCUAUUGCUGUGAAGAGACAACAUGACCAUGGCAACUAUUAUAAAAAGAAAGUGUUUAAUUGGGGCUUGCUUACAAUUUCGGAGAUUUAAUCCAUUAUCCUCAUUGAGUGAAGCAUGACAGCAAGCAGGCAGACAUGGAAGCUGAGAGUUCUCCAUCUGCAUUCAAAGGCAGCAGAGAGAGAAAGUCAUUGGGUCUAGCUUGGGCUUUUGAAACCUCAAAGCCCACCCCCAGUGACACACCUCCUCCAAGGCCACACCUCCUAAUCUUUUUAAAUAGUGCUAUUCCUUGAUGACUAAACAUUCACUGUGUAAGCCAAUGGGAGCCAUUCGUAUUCAAACCACCAGAAUCACUAUAAGCCACCACCAACGGGGAAGAAGGAGGAAGGGCUAGCUUGAUACUGGUGCUUUCUGGUUGGGAGCUUGCCCAUCAUCCCCAAGUGCUCCAGGGAAAGUGAAAGUAGAAGGGGAUGGAAGACAGGAAUAUUCCAUGAUAAGUCUUAGUAAGGAAAAAGUUUGAAGGCAUUUUGUGCGUCUUUAACUUAAAGUUUUAUCUGUUCAGUUUUUGUGUGUGGGUGUGUGUAAGAGCCAUAGUUAACCUGUAAGCCCCACUUGCCCAAGGAUAGGUAACUUCCUGGAAUGUUAGGGGCUGUGCUUUUUGGGAAAAUAACAAGGCUCAUAUUGUCACCCCCCUAAGCAAGUUUGUUUUUACGAGAUGUGCUUGCUCACUUGUGAGAAGGAGGUACAGGAGCAGGAUAUAGGUCAAGAUCCAUGCUUGCCCCUGAUUAGGUUGAUGGGAAAUAAAUGCACUGUGGGCUUUGACUUUUAAAGCUUCUGCAAAACAAGACGUGCCCAUUUCCUGGAAACUGGCCUGAGUCCAUCUUCCUGGCCAGUGUUUAAUUAAAGCUUCCUUUAAUUCAUUUGGCUCAAAAUUGUGGAACUGUUUUUUUUUUUUUUUUCUCUAGUGAAUCUCAGGUUUAACAUAUUCCAUGGGUAGGGGUCGGGUGGGGGCAGCUCAAGAGGCAGAAGAGUGCAUUGCUGUAGUUAAAGGCUGUUGGGAGUAGCCCUAAGUUGGUGCUGAGAACUGCUAGGUCUUCUGGAAGAACAGUAAGCACUCUUAAAUGCUAUGCCAUGUCUACAGCCCCUGAGUUAUACAUGUGUGUAAGUGUGUAUUUGUAUUCCUGGCCGGUGCUUAUCAGUGUUAUGAGCAUAGAUCAGAGUCUAGAGGGACCCCGCUGGGAUUUCCAGAUUCUCUGUUUGAACAAGGAAUUGCACCUGGGAUACAUGGUUAGUGAUUAAAAAUAGAGGCCUUUUACAAAAAGAAUGAUACUUCUCAGUAUAGAAGUGCUUGCUGACCCUAAAAACUGAGAAAAAGUUUGAGGUUCAGGCUUUUGUAGCUUUACAACGCCUCUACAUUCUCUAGCAGGAGGAGGGCACGGGGCUUCUUUUGCACAUGCUGUUUUGUUAUGUGUAGCCUACAGUCUUCCUUUGCUAUUGAUCUUAUCAUACAUCUAUCUAUGCCUCAUUCCCCUUCCUCUCUUAUACGGGAAUAAAGCCAAAGAGUUCC